rnacentral:rRNA from 1 species
UACGGGGGGAGCAAGCGUUGUUCGGAUUUACUGGGCGUAAAGGGCGCGUAGGCGGCCACUGCAAGUCGGUUGUGAAAUCUCCGGGCUUAACCCGGAGCGGUCAAGUGAUACUGUCGUGCUAGAGUGCGGAAGGGGCUACUGGAAUUCUCGGUGUAGCGGUGAAAUGCGUAGAUAUCGAGAGGAACACCUGCGGCGAAGGCGGGUAGCUGGGCCGACACUGACGCUGAUGCGCGAAAGCCAGGGGAGCGAACGGG